rnacentral:misc_RNA from 1 species
GAUGAAGAACGUAGCAAAAUGCGAUAAGUAGUGUGAAUUGCAGAAUUCAGUGAAUCAUCGAAUCUUUGAACGCACAUUGCGCCCGCCAGUAUUCUGGCGGGCAUGCCUGUUCGAGCGUCAUUUCAACCCUCAGGCCCCCAGUGCCUGGCGUUGGGGAUCGGCGUGGGCGGCGACGGCUCUCCGGAGCCCGAACCAAUGCCUGCCGGCCCCGAAAUUCAGUGGCGGUCUCGCUGUAGUCCCCCUCUGCGUAGUAGCACAACUCGCAUUGGAGCUCGGCGGUGGCCAUGCCGUAAAACACCCCACUUCUGAAAGUUGACCUCGGAUCAGGUAGGAAUACCCGCUGAACUUAAGCAUAUCAAUAAGCGGAGGA